UCAUGUUAGAGCUUGGACUUCCCUGGAUUUGCUGUGCCUCUUCUUGUCUUUCAGGAGAUGCAAAUGAUCUGGCAGAAUGUGCUUCUUCGAAGAAGUACCCUCUGUCCCCUUGGUUGUGAUUUGGUCCGGUGAUUCUUCUGGGUGGUGCUAAGGAAAAGAACCUCAUUCCUGAAGGCAAGAUCAGAAAUGGGAGAGAGAACGUUACAGGCGAAGGUGCUUGACAGGCGAUACAGACGAGGACGCUACGGCCUGAAGAACAGAAGGCACUUAUCCGAACUAGAUCCUGGAGAGAGGCUGCCUGCGUUUCAAAGCCUGGCCUUUGGCUUUCAAAAUAAUAGCGACGUAAAUGUGCCGGACAUCUUUUUCCUCGGGAGCACGGAGAACUUUCCAGGCAUGAUCUCAUUCUGUCUUCAGACAUCCCCCAAUGAGGCUGACUGAGGAAGACAGCAUUCACGGCGGCAGCAUUACAGGCCCGUUUGACUCACCUCAACACCUCCGUCCUCUGUCGCACCCCCGUGUCCCCCCCCCCCCCCGACGCUGCUGAGAAAACCGAGGCCGGCCGAAGGGAUGCGACAGUUUCUCUCCCCUUUCUCCUCACUCGGCGGGUACCGCUUUCCUCUGUUCAGAAGAAGGAAUCAUACGAGGGCUGUUCACAGUAAUGCUCAUGCCCGUGUGCCAGGCGCGGGGCUAAGCACUGAUGUGUGAUUUCAUUGAACCCUGCAAACAACCCCGUGAGGUAAGUACUAAUAUUACCCCCCAGAGGUUCCUCCCCUCACUCACACGGACAGCCAAAGCCUUUGCAGUGGGCUGCAAGUCUCUGUGAGUGUCUGAUCUCGUUGCCUCCUAGCUCGCCUUUGCCCGAUGGGACAUCUGACAGGCUACAGCAGCCCUCACAUUUAGAAAUUGGCUUGCCAGGAUCUUAAAAAGGAGAUCCCCCCCCCCCCCCUCUACUGGGCAUCUUUUCUCUGCCACGUUUCAUGCCAG
rnacentral:lncRNA from 1 species